rnacentral:rRNA from 1 species
CAGUAGCCACGGGAAUACGUAGGUGGCAAGCGUUGUCCGGAAUUAUUGAGCGUAAAGGGCUCGCAGGCGGUUUCUUAAGUCUGAUGUGAAAGCCCCCGGCUCAACCGGGGAGGGUCAUUGGAAACUGGGAAACUUGAGUGCAGAAGAGGAGAGUGGAAUUCCACGUGUAGCGGUGAAAUGCGUAGAGAUGAGGAGGAACACCAGUGGCGAAGGCGACUCUCUGGUCUGUAACUGACGCUGAGGAGCGAAAGCGUGGGGAGCGAACAGGAUUAGAUACCCCCGUAGUCCCUGUCUCUUAUAC